GACGAACGCUGGCGGCGUGCCUAACACAUGCAAGUCAGGGAGAAUGGGGUAGCAAUAUCCCUAGUAAACCGGCGCAAGGGUGAGUAACACGUAAGCAAUCUGCCUUUUGGACGGGAAUAACUUCGAGAAAUCGAGGCUAAUACCCGAUAAUGCAGCGGCAUCGCAUGAUGACAGUUGUUAAAGGCCGUAAGGUGCCAAAAGAUGAGCUUGCGUCCCAUUAGCUGUUGGCGGGGUAACGGCCCACCAAGGCGACGAUGGGUAGCUGGUCUGAGAGGACGAUCAGCCACACUGGAACUGAGACACGGUCCAGACUCCUACGGGAGGCAGCAGUGAGGAAUAUUGCGCAAUGUCCGAAAGGGUGACGCAGCGACGCCGCGU
rnacentral:rRNA from 1 species